rnacentral:rRNA from 1 species
UUCCUACGGGAGGCAGCAGUGAGGAAUUUUCGUCAAUGGGGGAAACCCUGAACGAGCAACGCCGCGUGGAGGACGAAGACCUUCGGGUUGUAAACUCCUGUCGGACGGGACGAAAKCUAUCGAGGUUAAUACCCUUGGUAGUUGACGGUACCCUACGAGGAAGCCCCGGCUAACUUCGUGCCAGCAGCCGCGGUAAUACGAGGGGGGCAAGCGUUGUUCGGAAUUACUGGGCGUAAAGGGCGCGUAGGCGGUUUGGCAAGUCUUCCGUGAAAGCCCACGGCUCAACCGUGGAACAGCGGGGGAAACUGCCAGACUUGAGUCCGGGAGAGGGGAGUGGAAUUCCCAGUGUAGCGGUGAAAUGCGCAGAUAUYGGGAGGAACACCGGAGGCGAAGGCGUCUCCCUGGACCGGUACUGACGCUGAGGCGCGAAAGCCAGGGGAGCGAACGGGAUUAGAUACCCCGGUAGUCCUSGCCGUAAACGAUGAGCACUGGAUGUGGCGGGUAUUGACCCCUKCCGUGUCGCAGCUAACGCAUUAAGUGCUCCGCCUG